rnacentral:rRNA from 1 species
CGAUGAAGCUGGAGCUUGCUCUGGUGGAUUAGUGGCGAACGGGUGAGUAACACGUGAGCAACCUGCCCCUGACUCUGGGAUAACAGCCGGAAACGGCUGCUAAUACCGGAUAUGCACCAUGAACGCAUGUUCUGUGGUGGGAAAGAUUUUUCGGUUGGGGAUGGGCUCGCGGCCUAUCAGCUUGUUGGUGAGGUAAUGGCUCACCAAGGCGUCGACGGGUAGCCGGCCUGAGAGGGUGACCGGCCACACUGGGACUGAGACACGGCCCAGACUCCUACGGGAGGCAGCAGUGGGGAAUAUUGCACAAUGGGCGAAAGCCUGAUGCAGCAACGCCGCGUGAGGGAUGACGGCCUUCGGGUUGUAAACCUCUUUUAGCAGGGAAGAAGCGAGAGUGACGGUACCUGCAGAAAAAGCGCCGGCUAACUACGUGCCAGCAGCCGCGGUAAUACGUAGGGCGCAAGCGUUAUCCGGAAUUAUUGGGCGUAAAGAGCUCGUAGGCGGUUUGUCGCGUCUGCUGUGAAAACUGGAGGCUCAACCUCCAG